rnacentral:rRNA from 1 species
GACGAACGCUGGCGGCGUGCCUAAUACAUGCAAGUUGAGCGCUGAAGGUUGGUACUUGUACCUACUGGAUGAGCAGCGAACGGGUGAGUAACGCGUGGGGAAUCUGCCUUUGAGCGGGGGACAACAUUUGGAAACGAAUGCUAAUACCGCAUAAAAACUUUAAACACAAGUUUUAAGUUUGAAAGAUGCAAUUGCAUCACUCAAAGAUGAUCCCGCGUUGUAUUAGCUAGUUGGUGAGGUAAAGGCUCACCAAGGCGAUGAUACAUAGCCGACCUGAGAGGGUGAUCGGCCACAUUGGGACUGAGACACGGCCCAAACUCCUACGGGAGGCAGCAGUAGGGAAUCUUCGGCAAUGGACGAAAGUCUGACCGAGCAACGCCGCGGGAGUGAAGAAGGGUUUCGGAUCGGAAAACUCUGUUGGUAGAGAAGAACGUUGGUGAGAGUGGAAAGCUCAUCAAGUGACGGUAACUACCCAGAAAGGGACGGCUAACUACGUG